AUGCCCCAUCCCUGGAGGUGUUCAAGGCCAGGUUGGAUGGGGCCCUGGGCAGCCUGGGCUGGUAUUACAUGUGGAGGUUGGUGGCCCUGCCUGUGGUGGGGGGUUGGAGCUUCGUGAUCCUUGAGGUCCCUUCCAGCCCGGGCCAUUCUGGGAUUCUAUGGGGGAAAAAAAAAAAAAAAAAAAAAAAAAAAAAAAAAGAAAGAAAGAAGAGAGUUGAUACAAUUCCUGAAUAAUAAACUCCUGAAGUUUAAAUUGCUGUUGAUUUGCAUUCCAUGUAGAGGCUGUUAAACAAAUUGGCACUCAGCUCAGAAUCAAGUCCUGAAGUCUUUACUCAGCUCUUACCCAGUCCUUGGGCAAGAGGAGAGUAUCAUGGGUGCAGAUAUUAUGG
rnacentral:lncRNA from 1 species